UACGUAGGGGGCAAGCGUUGUCCGGAAUCAUUGGGCGUAAAGCGCGCGUAGGCGGCCCGGUAAGUCCGUUGUGAAAGUCAAAGGCUCAACCUUUGAACGCCGAUGGAUACUGCCGGGCUAGAGUCCGGAAGAGGCGAGUGGAAUUCCUGGUGUAGCGGUGAAAUGCGCAGAUAUCAGGAAGAACACCCGUGGCGAAAGCGGCUCUCUGGAACGGUACUGACGCUGAGACGCGAAAGCGUGGGGAGCGAACAGG
rnacentral:rRNA from 1 species